rnacentral:tRNA from 1 species
GCAGGCUUAGCUCAGUGGUAGAGCAUCCGAAGAAUUCUUACGAAUUCAUUAAAGGAAGGUCGCGGGUUCAAAUCCUGCAGCCUGCU